rnacentral:rRNA from 1 species
AUGAUGGACAUUGCGGGGCUGAUCAUGGUACACCCUUACUUCUGGGGAGCCAAGCGGCUGCCCUCGGAGCUCGCGUGGGCGGACGACAGCGAGGGCGCCGCGGCGGUGUUCCCGCCGUACGGGGUGGACCGGCUGUGGCCGUUCGUCACGGCCGGCCUGGCCGGCAACGACGACCACCGGAUCGACCCUCCAGCCUCAGAGAUCAAAUCGCUGGCCUGCCGCCGCGUGCUCAUGGCCGUAGCCGGGAAGGACACUCUGCGGGAGCGCGGCCUCGACCUGGCGGCCCGUAUGCGUGAUCACGACGCACCAUGGCCUUGGAUGAUGCAGGGGCACCGCGAGGUGACGGUAGUGGAGUCGGAGGGCGAGGACCACGGCUUCCACCUCUACAGUCCUCUGAGAGCCACAAGCAAGAGGCUCAUGGGGAGCAUCGUGGAGUUCAUAAACCAGCGGCCCAACUCGUCGCUUGCUAAUCGUAUGGUGCUUGGCGUGCCCACGACGCCGUUCAAGGACGUGUUUGGGUAUGGCAUGGCCAUGAAGUCCUGGGGCACACGGUCCAGUAUGCCACGUAACGGUGCUGCGGUUCCGUGGACUCGUGUGAUCAACAUUUUUUUCUAG